rnacentral:hammerhead_ribozyme from 1 species
AUGCAGACGAGUUCCAAAUAGGACGAGACGCGCGUCAUGGAU